UGGGGAAUAUUGGACAAUGGGGGCAACCCUGAUCCAGCCAUGCCGCGUGAGUGAUGAAGGCCUUAGGGUUGUAAAGCUCUUUUAUCCGGGACGAUAAUGACUGUACCGGAAGAAUAAGCCCCGGCUAACUUCGUGCCAGCAGCCGCGGUAAUACGAAGGGGGCUAGCGUUGUUCGGAAUUACUGGGCGUAAAGCGCAUGUAGGCGGCUACUCAAGUCGGGGGUGAAAUCCUGAGGCUCAACCUCAGAACUGCCUUCGAUACUGUGUGGCUCGAGUAUGGAAGAGGUUGGUGGAACUGCAAGUGUAGAGGUGAAAUUCGUAGAUAUUUGCAAGAACACCGGUGGCGAAGGCGGCCAACUGGUCCAUCACUGACGCUGAGAUGCGAAAGCGUGGGGAGCAAA
rnacentral:rRNA from 1 species